rnacentral:rRNA from 1 species
AUGAUCCAAUGUCAUUACUCAUUACUAAGAUUAGGCAGCUCUGUGAUUUGUACACACAAUGGACUUGUACUAAUAUUGCAAAAUAAAGUGAUAAUAUAUUACAGCAAUGAUACUUUUUUUGUUCAUUAUCACAGUCAAGGCCCUGGAUUGUGUCCCAUGCGGAUGUCUAAUGGUUCCAUUCUUGAUUUUUUUAUUACUCAAUUUGUUUUUAGCUGUGCAUUUCAUUUCCUGAAGUUCGAAGAUUGUGGUAAUGAAGGCAUCUUAGACAGGGUAUUGAUAUGUCUCAGCAGCCUAAGUGAUUCCAUGUUCUUUGUAUGGCUGAGUUUUGAGUGGGUGGUGGAUGGGAUUUGGCAAUAUGAAUAA